UGGCUGGUGUCCUAGGGGGAUGAGCUCAGUGUACUCAUCCUCAGCUGAGCCGACAGAGGAGGGGCAAGGUGUGUACCUGUGCGGGAGAGGGGCUUAGGCAAGGAGCCUUGCCCGAACUGUCCUCACUUCACAAUU